rnacentral:RNase_P_RNA from 1 species
CGAGUUGGCCAGACGAUCGCGGGCAACAGUCCGAAAGGCGUUGUCUGAGGAAAGUCCGAGCUGCAUAGAGCAGGGUGCUGGAUAACGUCCAGUGGGGGCGACCCUAAGGAAAGUGCCACAGAAAACAAACCGCCUUCUUUGAGGGUAAGGAUGAAACGGUGCGGUAAGAGCGCACCAGAGGCCAGGUGACUGGUUUGCUUGGUAAACCCCACCCGCAGCAAGACCGAAUAGGGGGAGGAUGAGGUUGCUCGCCGACUUCCCGGGUAGGUCGCUUGAGGUGUCCGGUAACGGGCAUCCCAGAUAAAUGAUCGUCCGUGACAGAACUCGGCUUAUGGCCAACUCGUCGU